GUCUAUGGCCAUGCCACCCUGAACAAGCCCGAUCAAUCCCAUCUGAAGCCCGAUCGAUCCCAUCUGAUCUCAGAAGCUAAGCAGGGUCGGGCCUGGUUAGUACUCGGAUGGGAGACCACCUAGGAAGACCAGGUGCUGUAGGCG
rnacentral:rRNA from 1 species